rnacentral:rRNA from 1 species
CGGCAGGUCUAACACAUGCAAGUCGAGCGGUAGAGAGAAGCUUGCUUCUCUUGAGGGCGGCGGACGGGUGAGUAAUACCUAGGAAUCUGCCUGAUAGUGGGGGAUAACGUUCGGAAACGGACGCUAAUACCGCAUACGUCCUACGGGAGAAAGCAGGGGACCUUCGGGCCUUGCGCUAUCAGAUGAGCCUAGGUCGGAUUAGCUAGUUGGUGAGGUAAUGGCUCACCAAGGCUACGAUCCGUAACUGGUCUGAGAGGAUGAUCAGUCACACUGGAACUGAGACACGGUCCAGACUCCUACGGGAGGCAGCAGUGGGGAAUAUUGGACAAUGGGCGAAAGCCUGAUCCAGCCAUGCCGCGUGUGUGAAGAAGGUCUUCGGAUUGUAAAGCACUUUAAGUUGGGAGGAAGGGCAGUUACCUAAUACGUGAUUGUCUUGACGUUACCGACAGAAUAAGCACCGGCUAACUCUGUGCCAGCAGCCGCGGUAAUACAGAGGGUGCAAGCGUUAAUCGGAAUUACUGGGCGUAAAGCGCGCGUAGGUGGUUUGUUAAGUUGAAUGUGAAAUCCCCGGGCUCAACCUGGGAACUGCAUCCAAAACUGGCAAGCUAGAGUAUGGUAGAGGGUAGUGGAAUUUCCUGUGUAGCGGUGAAAUGCGUAGAUAUAGGAAGGAACACCAGUGGCGAAGGCGACUACCUGGACUGAUACUGACACUGAGGUGCGAAAGC